rnacentral:lncRNA from 1 species
AAGAUUUUAAAAUAAAUUUUUUUUUUUAAAUUUUAAUUGUAAUAAGCAUAGCUUAUUUAAUUUGCUACAUUAAGAUGAUUGGAGUCUUCUGAUGUAUUGUAUUUUUACUUGGACUACUCGUGCAGCCUUGAAUUCAUUUUAAAUUAUGCAGUAAUUUUCAAGUAAAAUAUAACUUACGGUAAUUCAUGUUUUUGUAUUGUAUAUUAUAGUGACUAGGAUGCCUGACAUUGCCUGGGAAUUUCUGGCACAUAAUACAAUUUACAUACGUAGACUGUUACAUCAUCGUAAUGUCAGACAUCCUAGUUAUUUUAUUAUAAAUAUAAUUAUAAUUAAUUUAUUUAUUAUGCUGUUUAGAUAUUUAUCCAUUAGCUGUUUAUAUCCAAUUUUAAUAUCGAAGAUUUAUAUACUAUCUGCCUUUUUUAUUCUGCAUAAAAAAACAUUAAAUCAAUUUUAACAAUUUGAACUUUUUUAUUUUAUCAUAACAUGAUAUCACAAUGAUGCCACUGUUGUUGCAGAAUGAUGUCAACAAGAUAUUGUAACGAUAUCAUAUGCCAGUGAUAUUUGUUGUUGCGUUUGUAAUAUUUUUGACACAUCAUCAACACGAACUUUAGUGUGCCAGGAAGUGAUGAUAACAUUUGUGAUAUUAUCGUUGUUACAUUAUGUUGAUGUGAUGCUGUCGUCAUCUUUUGAAUCCUAUGACCAAUUAUCAGAAUUAUUUUCCCAACGAUGGGGUUGCAUUUUUGAUAUCAUCUUUGGUGAUAAAUGCUCAUUCAAAAAUUCUUACUGUGAACUUUAAUAAUAUAUCCAACAUUAAAUCUUCCUAGUAAUUAGUCAUUUUCAAUGCGUUUUGCUUAAUUCGAUAUUUGUUCCACUAAUUUCAAGCUAAUAUAUUGAAUUUUUUCUAGGGAGUCUUAUCUUAAAGAACUGUCGGCAUGAAAAUUUCAGAUUUCUAGAUCACUUAAAAAAGCUAACUAAACACACUGUGUUUCUUCAUUAUAAUAGAGAAUCAAAGCCCAUUGAACACAGUACAAACAAUUUGUUUCAUAGUGGAACGUUUUCG